rnacentral:rRNA from 1 species
GGCGCAGGUGGUUGUAUAAGUCUGAAGUAAAAGGCAGUGACUCACCAUUGUGUGCUUUGGAAACUGUACAACUUGAGUGCAGAAGGGGAGAGUGGAAUUCCAUGUGUAGCGGUGAAAUGCGUAGAUAUAUGGAGGAACACCGGUGGCGAAAGCGGCUCUCUGGUCUGUAACUGACACUGAGGCUCGAAAGCGUGGGAGCAAACA